rnacentral:misc_RNA from 1 species
CAUGAAGAACGCAGCGAAAUGCGAUAAGUAAUGUGAAUUGCAGAAUUCAGUGAAUCAUCGAAUCUUUGAACGCACAUUGCGCCCGCCAGUAUUCUGGCGGGCAUGCCUGUUCGAGCGUCAUUUCAACCCUCAAGCCCCCGGGCUUGGUGUUGGGGAUCGGCGUGCCCUCGCGGCGCGCCGUCCCCUAAAUCUAGUGGCGGUCUCGCUGUAGCUUCCUCUGCGUAGUAGCAACACUCGCACUGGAUCGCAGCGCGGCCACGCCGUUAAACCCCCCACUUCUGAAAGUUUGACCUCGGAUCAGGUAGGAAUACCCGCUGAACUUAAGCAUAUCAAUAAGCGGAGGA